GCCAGAUCCAUGUGCACAGAAUUGCCAGGCCUGGCUGCUUGCUUGGGUGGGUGGAAAAGCAAAACUUGGCAUGGAAUUUGAGGCUUUUCCAUUGAAAGGAAAGACAGCUACCCAAUGUUUGCCAAUCUCUUUUUGGAAUGCCUUCCCUCUUGACAGUUUGGAAUUUCCUGAGCUCCAUUUUCGGGAAGGACUUGGGUGAGGUGACCCUAGAUUAUACCAAGUUGUCAAAACAACAACAGCAACAAUAACAGCAACAUCUAACCAACACAAAAAGCUGAAUAGAAUGAAGAGUUUCACUUCUGUUUUUAUACCCUGUAUAUUUCAUUUUCCCCCCCUUGGGUUUUGGCUGCAAGGUAUAAGCAAACAGAUUAAUCUUGAUUAGAUUUGGUUAUCAACAAAUAACUGUUGUGCACACACCAAUGAAGGGCCAUGUAAAGCAAACAGAGCAGUUUAGAGUCAAUGUGAUGAUAGAGGAUAAACUAUUGAUACCACCAGAGCAAGAGCAUAAUACGUUGUAAACACAUUUUAAGACAAUUAGUCUGGAAAGAAAGAAUAGCAUAGGCAAUUCAUAAGCACGAUAGAUAGGAAAGAUGAAGACAAAUAGACAGUAUUUGAGGCCUGUGGAGAAGCUAGCAUCAAGUCAGGAAUGUUCUUUUAUUCCAGACAUCACUCAAAACAAAUUACAAGGAGAGGACUGGACUCAAACUGAGGAGACCUUUCAUAACAUGAAGAAAACAUUUUCAGAAAAUUACAGAAACCAACAUCAGACAGAAGAGAAAAUACACAAGAAGUUUCUCAAGACAUAAAACAUGAUAUGGGAAAAGAGGUCUGAGAGAAUGAGAGAAUGAGAGAAUAGCUACAGGAAGAAACAGAGUUUUCUAGAUUUGUUUUUUAUUUUUAAAUCUGUGUACCUGUGUAAGUAUAGGCACAUGAAUGCAGGUGCCCACAGAAGCCAGAAGAUCCCUGCAGCUAGAGUUACAAGCUAUUUUUCAUUGUCUAAUGUGUGUUGUGAGAACCAAACUCAAGUUCUUGCAAGAGCAACAAGUGCUCUUAGCCCCCAGACCACCUCUCCAGCAUGAGCAGUAUUGUUUUUAUUUGUUUAGUUUAUAAAUUCAUGAACAAUUAUGUGUGAGAGGAAAUAUGCAUGGGGUUGAGUUUUGGUCAGCAUUGAUGUGAGCUAGGAGGGAAAGUUAGCAUCCCAGAAAGUAGAAAUUCUGAAAAUGCAGCCUUUUAACUAGAGAUCUUAUGAGCCUAGAGAGUCCACAGUUAAAUAGACAGAUGUAUUAUAUACUUGGGAGUUCAGGAAGUGGGUUGAUUUCCUGCUGAUUGCCUUUGUGAAUUCGUCCACCCCCCUCCAAAAAGCAGACAUGUCACAAGAGCUCUAAGUAAGGUGAAUGAGGACAUGCUUGGGUUUCUCUCCCAGAAGCAGAAAGCAGCCUGUUCUUGGUUUGCAGAAAGAAGUCAAAAUAAAAUCACGAAGUGGCAAAGGAAUGCUCAUUAGUAUCUUCAGGAGUCAAAUUGUGCAGUUACAGCUGUUCCCAGCAGGAAAGGAAGCCACAGUAUCAAUGGCUGAUGAUGGAGGAGCAGAGAACAGAAGACAGAAAGGAAGAGUACUUACAGUACAUAUGCAAAGAGAAUGGACCCACCUGCCUGGGAGGAGCCUAGUUACACACUCCUUGUUUGCCUGAAGGCUUUAGAUGUUCAGUUUCAAAGGCACACAUGCUGGCCCGAAGUCUGUCGAGUUGACAGUUUUGGAAUGGAUAAUGAUCUCAAGCCAACUCCCUCCCCUUCACCCAAGCAGAAUCCUUCAACUACCCCAAGUAAUUCCUUAGAUUUUUAGCACUAGACAGAGGAUCCUGAUCAAUAGCAACUCUGUCAUUUGGGAGCUAAGGCUGCAGGGAAAAGGUGAGAGGCACUUCUCCCUUCACAAGCUGUGGGAAGGCAAAUGUCUUCUCCUGUCUUCAACUUUCUGAGCUAAUGCUGUUUGAGUGUGUGCAUCUGUGAGUGUGUGUAUAUGUUUGUGUGCAUCUGUAUGUGUGUGGGCACCUGUGUGAGUGUGCAUCUCUGUGUGUUCAUCUGUGAGUGUGUGUAGCUGGAGUCUUCCUGCUCCCGCCUGGCCCACAGUCAGGACAAAUCUCUCUCAACUGCCAGUCCCGAAGCCACUCAGAUCCAACCAAGUAAACACACAGAGACUUAUAUUAUUUAUAAACUGUAUGACUGUGGCAGGCUUCUUGCUAACUGUUCUUAUAUCUUAAAUCAACCCAUUUCUAUUAAUCUAUAAGGUGCUAUAUGGCUCAUGGCUUACCAGUAUCUUAACAUCUGUUUCUCAUUGUGGCAGCUGGCAGUGUCUCUGUCUCAGCCUUCCUCCUCCCAGAAUUCUCCUCUCUCCUUGUCCCGCCUAUACUUCCUGCCUGGCUACUGGCCAAUCAGUGUUUUAUUUAUUAACCAAUCAGAGCAACACAUUUAACAUAAAGAACAUCCCAAAGCAAGCGUGUGUGCAUCUAUAUGUGUGUGCAUCUGUGUGAGUGUGCAUC